rnacentral:rRNA from 1 species
AUUGAACGCUGGCGGCAGGCUUAACACAUGCAAGUCGAACGAGUGGCGGACGGGUGAGUAAUGCUUGGGAAUCUGGCUUAUGGAGGGGGAUAACUACGGGAAACUGUAGCUAAUACCGCAUACCCUCGGAUGAGCCCAAGUGGGAUUAGGUAGUUGGUGAGGUAACGGCUCACCAAGCCGACGAUCUCUAGCUGGUCUGAGAGGAUGACCAGCCACACUGGAACUGAGACACGGCCCAGACUCCUACGGGAGGCAGCAGUGGGGAAUAUUGCGCAAUGGGGGCAACCUGACGCAGCCAUGCCGCGUGAAUGAAGAAGGCCUUCGGGUUGUAAAGUACUUUCGGUAGGGAGGCGUUACCUACAGAAGAAGCACCGGCUAACUCCGUGCCAGCCGCCGCGGUAAUAC